rnacentral:rRNA from 1 species
UGCAAGUCGAACGAACUCUGGUAUUGAUUGGUGCUUGCAUCAUGAUUUACAUUUGAGUGAGUGGCGAACUGGUGAGUAACACGUGGGAAACCUGCCCAGAAGCGGGGGAUAACACCUGGAAACAGAUGCUAAUACCGCAUAACAACUUGGACCGCAUGGUCCGAGUUUGAAAGAUGGCUUCGGCUAUCACUUUUGGAUGGUCCCGCGGCGUAUUAGCUAGAUGGUGGGGUAACGGCUCACCAUGGCAAUGAUACGUAGCCGACCUGAGAGGGUAAUCGGCCACAUUGGGACUGAGACACGGCCCAAACUCCUACGGGAGGCAGCAGUAGGGAAUCUUCCACAAUGGACGAAAGUCUGAUGGAGCAACGCCGCGUGAGUGAAGAAGGGUUUCGGCUCGUAAAACUCUGUUGUUGAAGAAGAACAUAUCUGAGAGUAACUGUUCAGGUAUUGACGGUAUUUAACCAGAAAGCCACGGCUAACUACGUGCCAGCAGCCGCGGUAAUACGUAGGUGGCAAGCGUUGUCCGGAUUUAUUGGGCGUAAAGCGAGCGCAGGCGGUUUUUUAAGUCUGAUGUGAAAGCCUUCGGCUCAACCGAAGAAGUGCAUCGGAAACUGGGAAACUUGAGUGCAGAAGAGGACAGUGGAACUCCAUGUGUAGCGGUGAAAUGCGUAGAUAUAUGGAAGAACACCAGUGGCGAAGGCGGCUGUCUGGUCUGUAACUGACGCUGAGGCUCGAAAGUAUGGGUAGCAAACAGGAUUAGAUACCCUGGUAGUCCAUACCGUAAACGAUGAAUGCUAAGUGUUGGAGGGUUUCCGCCCUUCAGUGCUGCAGCUAACGCAUUAAGCAUUCCGCCUGGGGAGUACGGCCGCAAGGCUGAAACUCAAAGGAAUUGACGGGGGCCCGCACAAGCGGUGGAGCAUGUGGUUUAAUUCGAAGCUACGCGAAGAACCUUACCAGGUCUUGACAUACUAUGCAAAUCUAAGAGAUUAGACGUUCCCUUCGGGGACAUGGAUACAGGUGGUGCAUGGUUGUCGUCAGCUCGUGUCGUGAGAUGUUGGGUUAAGUCCCGCAACGAGCGCAACCCUUAUUAUCAGUUGCCAGCAUUAAGUUGGGCACUCUGGUGAGACUGCCGGUGACAAACCGGAGGAAGGUGGGGAUGACGUCAAAUCAUCAUGCCCCUUAUGACCUGGGCUACACACGUGCUACAAUGGAUGGUACAACGAGUUGCGAACUCGCGAGAGUAAGCUAAUCUCUUAAAGCCAUUCUCAGUUCGGAUUGUAGGCUGCAACUCGCCUACAUGAAGUCGGAAUCGCUAGUAAUCGCGGAUCAGCAUGCCGCGGUGAAUACGUUCCCGGGCCUUGUACACACCGCCCGUCACACCAUGAGAGUUUGUAACACCCAAAGUCGGUGGGGUAACCUUUUAGGAACCAGCCGCCUA